rnacentral:tRNA from 1 species
UAGAACAUAGUGUAGGGGUAGCACGGAGAGUUUUGAGUUCUUUGGGUCAGGUUCAAUUCCUGUUGUUCUAG